ACGCCGGGGUCGCUCAACUUGGUAGAGCAACGGUUUGUCACACCGUGUCCCGUAAGGGAUUGUGGGUUCAAAUACCUUUCGGUGUU
rnacentral:tRNA from 1 species